AUGAGUAGAGCGGCGCACGGGUGAGUAACGCGUGGAUAAUCUACCCUGAAGAUCGGGAUAACAGUUGGAAACGACUGCUAAUACCGUAUAUACUGCAUAUUUAACUUUAUGUGGGAAAGGUGGCCUCUAUUUAUAAGCUAUCGCUUCGGGAUGAGUCCGCGUCUCAUUAGAUUGUUGGUGGGGUAAUGGCCUACCAAGUCUACGAUGAGUAGCAGGUCUGAGAGGAUGAUCUGCCACACUGGGACUGAAACACGGCCCAGACUCCUACGGGAGGCAGCAGUGGGGAAUAUUGCGCAAUGGGGGAAACCCUGACGCAGCGACGCCGCGUGUAGGAAGAAGGCCUUCGGGUCGUAAACUACUGUCAAGAGGGAAGAAACUGUUAGGGAUUAAUACGCCCUUUCACUGACGGUACCUCUAGAGGAAGCACCGGCUAACUCCGUGCCAGCAGCCGCGGUAAUACGGAGGGUGCAAGCGUUAAUCGGAAUCACUGGGCGUAAAGCGUGCGUAGGCGGCGCAUCAAGUCAGGCGUGAAAGCCCUCGGCUCAACCGAGGAAUUGCGUUUGAAACUGAUGCACUAGAGUCUCGGAGAGGUUGGCGGAAUUCCAGGUGUAGGAGUGAAAUCCGUAGAUAUCUGGAGGAACACCGGUGGCGAAGGCGGCCAACUGGACGAGUACUGACGCUGAGGUACGAAAGCGUGGGUAGCAAACAGGAUUAGAUACCCUGGUAGUCCACGCUGUAAACGAUGGAUAUUA
rnacentral:rRNA from 1 species